rnacentral:rRNA from 1 species
CGUGUAGGCGGCCAAGCAGGUCCGUUGUGAAAAACUGGAGGCUUAACCUCCAGACGUCGACGGAAACCGCGUGGCUAGAGUCCGGAAGAGGAGAGUGGAAUUCCUGGUGUAGCGGUGAAAUGCGCAGAUAUCAGGAAGAACACCAAUGGCGAAGGCAGCUCUCUGGGACGGUACUGACGCUGAGACGCGAAAGCGUGGGGAGCGAACA